rnacentral:rRNA from 1 species
GACGAACGCUGGCGGCGUGCUUAACACAUGCAAGUCGAACGGAAAGGCCCUGCUUGGGUUUGGUGCUCGAGGGGCGAACGGGUGAGUAACACGUGAGUAACCUGCCCUUGACUUUGGGAAAACUUCAGGAAACUGGGGCUAAUACCGUAUAGGAGCUCCUGCUGCAUGGUGGGGUUGGGAAAGUUUCGGCGGGUGGGGAUGGACUCUCGGCUUAUCAGCUUGUUGGUGGGGUAGUGGCUUACCAAGGCUUUGAGGGGUAGCCGGCCUGAGAGGGUGACCGGCGACAUUGGGCCGACGAUAACGCCCAGACUCAUACGGGAGGAAGGCGUGGGGAAUAUUACCCAAUGGGAGGAAGCCUGCUGCAGCAACGACGCGUGCGGGAUGAUGGCCUUCGGGUUGUAAACCGCUUUCGCCUGUGACGAAGCGUGAGUGACGGUAAUGGGUAAAGAAGCACCGGCUAACUACGUG